AUGCAUCUAUCAAAACUCAUUUGAUAAAUGUAGUGUUUCCACUGCAGAUGUAAGAAUAUAAAGUUCCUUUUCACACUAUCUACCUGUCUGGUUGUGGCAACCAAGAUUGAAUGGGGGAAUACAGGA
rnacentral:snoRNA from 1 species